CCUACGGGUGGCUGCAGUGGGGAAUAUUGGACAAUGGGCGAAAGCCUGAUCCAGCCAUGCCGCGUGUGUGAAGAAGGCCUUCGGGUUGUAAAGCACUUUCAGUGGGGAAGAAAGCCUUGGGGCUAAUACCCUCGAGGAAGGACAUCACCCACAGAAGAAGCACCGGCUAACUCCGUGCCAGCAGCCGCGGUAAUACGGAGGGUGCGAGCGUUAAUCGGAAUUACUGGGCGUAAAGCGCGCGUAGGCGGUCUGAUAAGCCGGUUGUGAAAGCCCCGGGCUCAACCUGGGAACGGCAUCCGGGGUGUGGGGGGAGAGGGCGGGGGCAGGGGGUAGAAUUCGAGGCGUAGCGGUGGCAUGCGUAGAGAACAGGAAGGAUGAGAGGGACGGAGGUGGCCGUCUGGACUGACAAUGACUCUGGUGUGCGUAUGCGUAGGUAGCACACAGGCCUAGAACCCUGGACGAG
rnacentral:rRNA from 1 species